rnacentral:lncRNA from 1 species
CUGCAACCUUACACUGCGGUUCUUUGUUUGCUCUGUCACAGCCCCACACAUCUCUUUCUGUGAGUUCCUGUGGCGUCAUGUGCUGGUGUUGCUCCAGGCCCUCUUGGCUGAAGUUCCUGCAGGGGAUCCUGGACAACUCCAGGAACAGAUGCCGACACCUGCUGCUUAUAAAGUUGAUGCGCUGCAUCAGAUCUUCUGGCUUGAAGGUUGGGCACGUCUGUGUGAUAUAGCCACGAUCCCCGUGAGGUAGCUCUUCUGCUUGGACGUACUUAAAGCAUCCUCACA